GACGAACGCUGGCGGCGUGCUUAACACAUGCAAGUCGAACGCUGAAGCUCAGCUUUUGUUGGGUGGAUGAGUGGCGAACGGGUGAGUAACACGUGAGUAACCUGCCCCCUUCUUUGGGAUAACGCCCGGAAACGGGUGCUAAUACUGGAUAUUCACUGGUCUUCGCAUGGGGGUUGGUGGAAAGGGCGGUUCUGGUGGGGGAUGGGCUCGCGGCCUAUCAGCUUGUUGGUGGGGUGAUGGCCUACCAAGGCUUUGACGGGUAGCCGGCCUGAGAGGGUGACCGGUCACAUUGGGACGGAGAUACGGCCCAGACUCCUACGGGAGGCAGCAGUGGCGAAUAUUGGACAAUGGGCGCCAGCCUGAUGCAGCGACGCUGCGUGAGGGAUGGAGGCCUUCGGGUUGUGAAACUCUUUCGCUACUGGUCUAGCCGCAACAAUGGUUGUGGUGAGGGUAGUGGGUAAAGAAGCGCCGGCUAACUACGUG
rnacentral:rRNA from 1 species